rnacentral:rRNA from 1 species
GAUGAACGCUGGCGGCGUGCCUAAUACAUGCCAGUCGAGCGAACAGAUGAGGAGCUUGCUCCUCUGACGUUAGCGGCGGUCGGGUGAGUAACACGUGGAUAACCUACCUAUAAGACUGGGAUAACUUCGGGAAACCGGAGCUAAUACCGGAUAAUAUAUUGAACCGCAUGGUUCAAUAGUGAAAGACGGUUUUGCUGUCACUUAUAGAUGGAUCCGCGCCGCAUUAGCUAGUUGGUAAGGUAACGGCUUACCAAGACAACGAUGCGUAGCCGACCUGAGAGGGUGAUCGGCCACACUGGAACUGAGACACGGUCCAGACUCCUACGGGAGGCAGCAGUAGGGAAUCUUCCGCAAUGGGCGAAAGCCUGACGGAGCAACGCCGCGUGAGUGAUGAAGGUCUUCGGAUCGUAAAACUCUGUUAUUAGGGAAGAACAAAUGUGUAAGUAACUAUGCACGUCUUGACGGUACCUAAUCAGAAAGCCACGGCUAACUACGUG